rnacentral:pre_miRNA from 1 species
AAACAAACCAAUUUUUCAUUUUUACCUAUAAUGUUUGACUUUUUGUUUUAUUUAAAAAAAUUUACGAUUAAUAUUUUUUUAUUAGAUGAUAAAUUAUAAAUAGUAUUUUACGUGUGACUAAUUUUUUUUUAAUUUUUUAAAAUAGUUUUAAAUAAGACGAAUAAUCAAACGUUAGAUACAGAAACCAAAAGAUUGAUUUAAU